GACGAACGCUGGCGGCGUGCCUAAUACAUGCAAGUAGGACGCAGUUGCGAACGAGUGAGGAACGCGUAGGUACCUGCCUAUUAGACGGGGCUAACUAUUGGAAACAAUAGCUAAUACCGCAUACUAGUAGAUGGAUCUGCGUUGUAUUAGUUAGUAGGUGGGGGAAUGGCCUAACUAGGCGACGAUACAUAGCCGAGCUGACAGGGUUGUCGGCCAACAUGGGACGGAGCAACGGCCCAGACCUCUACCGGAGGCAGGAGUAGGGAAGCUUCGGGAAUGGGGGGAACCCUGAACGAGCAACGCCGCGUGAGUUAAGAAGGGUUUCGGAGCGUAAAGCUCUGUUGUUAAGGAAGCGGUACUGAACCAGAAAGGGACGGCUAACUACGUGCCAGCAGCCGCGGUAAUUC
rnacentral:rRNA from 1 species